ACCGCCCAUAGCCCAAACCACACCCAUUGCAACUCUCCCAGACACUAGAACAAAACAUUUAUCGCCUUAAAGUAUAGGAGAUAGAAAUUUCACUUAAGGAGCAAUAGAGACAGUACCGUAAGGGAAUAAUGAACAUAGGCUAAAGUACAAAACAGCAAAGAUUACCCCUUGUACCUUUUGCAUAAUGAGUUAACUAGACUAAAUUUAGCAAAGGGAUCUUAAGUUAAACCCCCCGAAACUAGACGAGCUAUCUAUUAACAGCCCCCCGGGGCCAACUCAUCUAUGUGGCAAAAUAGUGAGAAGAUUAAUAGAUAGAGGUGAUAAGCCUACCGAGCCUAGUGAUAGCUGGUUGUUCAGGAAAGAAUUUAAGUUCAUGUUUAAACAUACCUAAUAAAAUAAAAAUUACAAUGUAUGUUUAAAUACUAAUCCACAGGGGUACAGCCCUAUGGACGCAGGACUCAACCUUUAUUAGAGAGUAAGUACUAAUUAUUACCAUUGUAGGCCUAAGAGCAGCCAUCAAUAAAGAAAGCGUUCAAGCUCAAUAAAUCAAUAAACCACUAAUACCAACCUUACCAACUAUCUCCUAAUACUAAUAACUGAACUAAUCUAUAUAAGCAUAGAAGAGAUAAUGUUAAUAUGAGUAACAAGAAAGAAUAUUUUUCUCCUUGCAGAAGUGUAUAUCAGAUCGGAUACCCCGCUGAUAGUUAACAAACAAUAAAUAAAGUCAUACUACAAGCCCUUUAUCCAAUAACAUGUUAACCCAACACAGGACUGCUACAAGGAAAGAUUAAAAUGAGUAAAAGGAACUCAGCAAACACGAGCCUCGCCUGUUUACCAAAAACAUCACCUCUAGCAUUAAUAGUAUUAGAGGCACUGCCUGCCCAGUGACACUAGUUCAACGGCCGCGGUAUCCUGACCGUGCAAAGGUAGCAUAAUCACUUGUUCUCUAAAUAAGGACUUGUAUGAACGGCCACACGAAGGCUCUACUGUCUCUUACUCACAAUCAGUGAAAUUGACCUUUCCGUGAAGAGGCGGAAAUAAAACAAUAAGACGAGAAGACCCUAUGGAGCUUCAAUUAACUAACCCAAAAGUAGCAAUAACCAACCCAAACGGGACAAUCUAACUCUCGUGGGUUAGCAAUUUCGGUUGGGGUGACCUCGGAGCACAAACUAACCUCCGAGAAAAUUACAAACCUAGACAAACCAGUCAAAGUAAACUAAUAAUUAAUUGAUCCAAAGUAAUUUGAUCAACGAAACAAGUUACCCUAGGGAUAACAGCGCAAUCCUAUUUAAGAGUCCCUAUCGACAAUGGGGUUUACGACCUCGAUGUUGGAUCAGGACAUCCUGAUGGUGCAGCAGCUAUCAAGGGUUCGUUUGUUCAACGAUUAAAGUCCUACGUGAUCUGAGUUCAGACCGGAGUAAUCCAGGUCGGUUUCUAUCUAUUCUAUGUCCCUCCCAGUACGAAAGGACCAGAAAGACAGGGCCCACUUCAAACAAGCGCCCUCAAUGAACAGAUGAUAUAAUCUCAAUCUGAAAAAUUAUAGACACACAUACCCUAGACCAGGGUUU
rnacentral:rRNA from 1 species